rnacentral:rRNA from 1 species
AUUGAACGCUGGCGGCAGGCCUAACACAUGCAAGUCGAACGAGUGGCGGACGGGUGAGUAAUGUCUGGGAAACUGCCUGAUGGAGGGGGAUAACUACUGGAAACGGUAGCUAAUACCGCAUACAAUCAGAUGUGCCCAGAUGGGAUUAGCGUGGUGGUGGGGUAACGGCGCAACAAGGCGACGCUCCCUAGCUGGUCUGAGAGGAUGACCAGCCAGGAUGGAACUGUGGCACGGUCCAAACUCCUACGGGAGGCAGCAGUGGUGAAUAUUGCACAAUGGGCGGAAGCCUGAUGCAGCCAUGCCGCGUGUAUGAAGAAGGCCUUCGGGUUGUAAAGUACUUGCAGCGGGGAGGCGUUACCCGCAGAAGAAGCACCGGCUAACUCCGUGCCAGCAGCCGCGGUAAUAC